CGAGCAUUGGCAAAUACUGGUCCAGAGUCAGAGUCCUUCAGUAGGCCUAUGUUACGUAACGUAAAGUAAAAAAAAGGUAGUAGUUUGGUUAGUUUUAGGCAACAGAACUUUAUGGUUAGUUUUAGGAAAAUAUUGUGGCUUGGGUUAAAACAAGUACAUUACGUAAGUUCUCUACAAAACGUUAUUUAACUUUCUUUUACACGGAACUUGAGUCUUGGUCUCUUGAGUGAAAGUCCUGAGUUUACAUCCCUCAUCCAUUCACCACCACCACCCUCCUUAAUCGGACUUUGUCGUUCCUCAUACUACGCCACCUGACUUCUUCUGUCACCAGGGGUAGUGGCCUUACUAAAAACAUAAAUUUGGGUCGUAGUAAGCUAUAUAAUAAUCAACCUAUACAGCUGUUUUUGGAUGAGGACGGGCUGGAUCUAAAAAUCACACUAUCAUAAAUAAAUACUUCAAAAAAAAAUCACAAUCACAUGUAUUGAGUUAUGAAAUGUACUGUAACAAAGCUACUUUUUUGCCUAGAACGAGAAGGACACUGAGAACACUUCAGAGGUAUAUGAGAACAUAUAAACUGUCUUUUAAGAUGAUCAGAAAAGAAGAGACACCAAUGUUGUUGUUUUGUUUUAGAAUUCAUACUGUUUCUUCUGUGUUUGGGUUAUGUUUCUUUUAGAUAAAUAAUUUACAACACAGCAAAACGUAACAGUAACAGAAUUACCAGUGUAUUUCAAAGUCUUGUUGACAGACACAUAAAUGUGCUUAAAGUUGAAUUAAGUGACUGUUUGGACACUUGUAGGCAGAAGAGCACCACAACAUAAUGACACAUAGCAGCCCUGAUAUAUUAUCACAUUAUUGUUUUUGAUAGCUAAUGUGUUGUUUUUUUAUAGCUAAUGUGUUAGCAAACAUUUGCCAUUUAUCCAUAUGUACAGUAUAACAGUAGCAUUUCCUCUGCUUUUCUGGCCACUUGUUGAAUUAAAUAUUCCUUCUCAUUUUAGCAGGUAGCAAAUGCAUUGGGUUUGUCAGAGUAAUCUGCCGUAAACAGUGUUUAUGAGAGUGAAAUGUCUUCAAACCCAAAACAAAGAGUGUAAAUACAGUAAAAAGCUCCAGUAAGCUGUAGUGCUGGGUGAUGAUUCACCCUGAGUCCUUUUACAUUUAAAACAUAAUAUAUUUAGUUGAAUAUUGUUAUGCUAGUUUUCCUUACACCAUUCCUGGUGUGUUGCGCAUUUCUACAGAGUAUUUCUAAUUUUUGCUUUUAUUUUGCUGUUCUUUAUUGUGUCCAGCCACAACUUUGUAAAUUAAUGGAAGAAUAUUGGGGUGGAAUAAGACAUUAUGCUAAUUAACAAUAUAUAUCAAUAUAUUUUGAAAACUGCAACACAAAAUGUUAAUUCUUUCUCUGUCAUGUGAACUUACAGCAACUGAAUAUGUAACAGUCUUUAAAUAUAACAGUCAAAGACUGGCAACUGCGGAAAUGACUUUGGAAGUAUAUUUUAAUAAAUAUGUAUAUAUCUUCUUACUGUUUACUUGAGUUGAUACAUUUGACUUCCUUACAAUAAAUACAAACAAUGAAGAAA